rnacentral:rRNA from 1 species
UACGUAGGGGGCGAGCGUUGUCCGGAUUCAUUGGGCGUAAAGCGCGCGUAGGCGGCUUCGUAAGUCGGCCGUGAAAUCUCCAGGCUUAACCUGGAGGGGUCGGGCGAGACUGCGGGGCUCGAGGUGGGCAGAGGGCAGUGGAAUUCCGGGUGUAGUGGUGGAAUGCGCAGAUAUCAGGAGGAACACCGGUGGCGAAGGCGGGACUCUGGGCCGAUACUGACGCUGAGGAGCGAAAGCGUGGGGAGCGAACAGG